AGAGUUUGAUCAUGGCUCAGAGCGAACGCUGGCGGCGUGCUUAACACAUGCAAGUCGAACGCGCAACAUUCUGUAGCAAUACAGGGUGUGGGCGCGUGGCGAACGGGUGCGUAACACGUGGAUAACCUUCCUUGAGGUGGGGAAUAACCCAGUGAAAAUUGGGCUAAUACCGCAUAACAUCGCGAUGGCACAUGUUGUUG
rnacentral:rRNA from 1 species